rnacentral:rRNA from 1 species
AUGCUUGUUGCAACUAAGAAGCAUGUUCUUUAUGAUUUGGUCUACUUACUCAUCAAAUUGAUAUUGAUUUUACUGGUGGCGAUGGCGAGUGUUGAAAGAGUAUUUUCAGCAAUGAAUCUAGUGAAAAAUAAGUUGAGGACUACUAUAAGUGAUGAUCGCUUGAAUAAUUGCUUGGUGACAUUUAUUGAAUGGGAUGUGUUCAUGAAAGUAAGCGAAGAUGACAUAGUUGAUGUUUUCGUGGCAAUGCAAAAACGUUACCAAGUGAUGUAA